AAUUAAGAACCUCAUGCAACCUGAGACUUACAGUACAGAGAAACACACCACCAAACGAGUGGUCCAACUGUUAAAGAAGCACACUCCAAAUGAUCCUACCUCUCAGAAUCCAUGGUUUCAUUUCUUACAUGGUAUCAGUGACAAAACCAGAAGUGUCAAAAAGUGAUCGCUUCCCGUUACCUGAAGGAUUGCUCACUGACCUGGAAGGUGUUGCUGAGAACAGACAUCUUCUCAUCACUGCCUCCCCGGCUCUGGGAUUAAAAAGACGUGCGCCCUACCUGUUUUAAUCUCCCAGGUGAGGAGUAAUGGUCACCCAAACACUGUAAUGAUGAUGACCACGAUGAUGAUGAUGACGGUGAUGGUGGUGAUGAUGAUGACGAUGAUGAUGCUGUGUCUUGAAUCCAUCCUGGCAGUGACUGACAUGAGCUAGCUCAGUUCUCAUCCAGGGCACACUGAGGAACUAGAUAGAUGUAAGUUCAGAAGAGAGAAAUGACACACGAGAAAGUCUGGACUUCCAUGCCAGACACUGUCAGAACUUUCUGAAGCA
ensembl:processed_transcript BC006965 cDNA sequence BC006965